AGCGGCGGACGGGUGAGUAACGCGUGGGUAACCUGCCUCAUACAGGGGGAUAACAGUUAGAAAUGACUGCUAAUACCGCAUAAGACCACAGCACCGCAUGGUGCGGGGUAAAAACUCCGGUGGUAUGAGAUGGACCCGCGUCUGAUUAGCUAGUUGGUAAGGUAACGGCUUACCAAGGCGACGAUCAGUAGCCGACCUGAGAGGGUGACCGGCCACAUUGGGACUGAGACACGGCCCAA
rnacentral:rRNA from 1 species